rnacentral:lncRNA from 1 species
CUUUAUCACAACCACAAACUUUUCUCUGAGUAUUAAGUUCCACAAUUUUAAAAAAAUGCUCAGUACCCCAUUUAAACAGUUUUAAAAUACUAAAAUUAAUAUUUUACAUUGCAUAGCAGUGAUUAUUGUUCAUUGAACCAUUUCUAAUAAAUCUACCAAAUUUCAUAUCAAUCGGAGAUCGUUAAAGUCACGAUCUCUAAAAGUUGCGACCAAAUUUGAAAAAUUAUCAUUUUAAGCAUUUUUUAAGAAUUUAAAAUAUGACCUGUAUUUUUUUUUAAUUUUUCAUAUAUCAAUUCAUGUCAAAUCAACAUGUGUUAUCAUGUUCCAUUUUAGACAUAAAUAAAAUGAUAGAAAGAAUGACUUUUCGUAUGUAAAUCACAUUUUAAUCCGUCAAACCUCCAAAAACCUCAUCUAAGCGAUCCUGAAUCGUCAAAAUACGAUGUGAGUCACUAUAUAGCAGUGAGUUCUUCUUAAAUGACCGUUUCCGAUGAUCCUACCGAAUUUCAGGUCAUUUGGAAAAUACAAUGUGAUUCACUGAGUAUCAGUGAGUUCUUCUUAAAUGAUUGUCUUCGAUGAUCCUACUGAAUUUCAGGUCAUUUGGAGAUCGUAAAAUUCAUGAUCGCCAAAACUAGACCAAAUUCGAAUAAAUUAUUUUUGGCGUAGUUAGGAUUAUUAAACCCAUGUGAUUUGCAUUCUUCAUAUAUAUCAUAUAUAUCAUAUUAUGAAAUUCAAAAAAAACGCACAUAAAUACCAUAUUCUCGUUUCAUGAAAAACUUAGUUAUCUAAUUAGAUGUGAGUGAGCUCUUAUACCAAUUGAUGGAUUAUAAUAAUAGCAGCAGAAGCAAUCCCAGUAUCAAAAUCACAUGUAAUCUAGACAACUAGCGUAAACGAGAAUCCACGGGUUACCUCUUAAAGCGUGAACAUAUCUCUUCUACCAUGUGAGCCUUCAGUUCCAUAACUUCUCAAUGGAAUCUCUAUCACCCGCACAAUCGUGAUCCUCGAAUGUUCCACGCUCUUUUACUGUGUUACCCACCGGAAAUAGCAAUUUCGUGUGGGCGAAAUUUCUAGGAAAACUUGGCUGAAAAUUUCAGUCACCGUGUACCUUUUCUUCUAGGUGGAAAACCUUAUGUAUUUAUAGCACAAGUUUUAAGGGUUAAGACCUUUAUCCAAAACCUGUUGGGUUUUCUUUUCCACUAGAAAAAAGACUCCUUUAUUUCCUAUUAUUUAGGCACAGUAGGGACCAUAUAAUUUAAUUAACAAGGCUCUAAUUAUGGAAUUAAUUUCUAAUUUUCGAAAUUAAUAUCUACCAUAAUUAAGUACGAAUUAUUCCACUAAAAAUCCGUAACUGCACUCCUUAUCCAAUUUCGAAAUUCAUCCAUUAAAUCUUAUUUAACUCCUCAUGUUAAGACUCAGAUAN